CGAAAGCCUGACGGAGCAAGACCGCGUGGGGGAAGAAGGCUCUUGGGUUGUAAACCCCUUUUCUCUGGGAAGAAAGUUGUGAAAGCAACCUGACGGUACCAGAGGAAUCAGCAUCGGCUAAAUCCGUGCCAGCAGCCGCGGUAAGACGGAGGAUGCAAGCGUUAUCCGGAAUGAUUGGGCGUAAAGCGUCCGCAGGUGGCAGUUCAAGUCUGCUGUCAAAGACCGGGGCUUAACUUCGGAAAGGCAGUGGAAACUGAACAGCUAGAGUAUGGUAGGGGCAGAGGGAAUUCCUGGUGUAGCGGUGAAAUGCGUAGAGAUCAGGAAGAACACCGGUGGCGAAAGCGCUCUGCUGGGCCGUAACUGACACUCAUGGACGAAAGCUAGGGGAGCG
rnacentral:rRNA from 1 species